rnacentral:rRNA from 1 species
AUUCCAGCUCCAAUAGCGUAUGUUUAAGUUGUUGCAGUUAAAAAGCUCGUAGUUGGAUCUUGGGUCGUAAGGGUCGGUCCGCCUACUCGGUGUGCACCUGCCCUUCCGUCCCUUUUGUCGGCGGCGUGCUCCUGGCCUUAAUUGGCUGGGUCGUGGUUCCGGCGCGGUUACUUUGAAAAAAUUAGAGUGCUCAAAGCAAGCUUAUGCUCUGAAUACAUUAGCAUGGAAUAACGUGAUAGGAGUCUGGUCCUAUUGUGUUGGCCUUCGGGACCGGAGUAAUGAUUAAUAGGGACUGUCGGGGGCAUUCGUAUUUCAUUGUCAGAGGUGAAAUUCUUGGAUUUAUGAAAGACGGACCACUGCGAAAGCAUUUGCCAAGGAUGUUUUCAUUA